rnacentral:lncRNA from 1 species
UAUUUUCUGACCAUUCCAUGCUUUGCAUUACAUUCAGUAGAAAUCCAAGAAAGGUGGCAAGACCCUUUAGGUUCCUAAAUCACUUGGCUACUCAUACAUAAUUUCUUAGUGUUGUCUCUACUGUGUGAAAUUGUACUGUGCAAGGGAAAUAUAUGGAAUAAUCUAGCAUAAGCUCAAACUAAUGAAGGAAGGGAUGAAAGCUUUAAACGAACAUGGGUUCUGUAAAAUCGAGCAGAGGAUAUAAAAUAUCAGCCAAGAUCUACAUAAUAUUCAAGAGAAGCUAAGAACCUACUAUAAUGAUCCAAAUUUAUAUGAUACAUGCUUAAACUCAACUUAGAGAAAUGGAUCCUAGUGUAGAAAAGUAUCACGAGGCAACAAUCUAGAGUUCCAUGGCUGAGGCUAGGAGACACCAACUUAGC